UGGGGAAUAUUGCACAAUGGACGGAAGUCUGAUGCAGCAACGCCGCGUGCGGGAUGACGGCCUUCGGGUUGUAAACCGCUUUUUCUCAUGACGAAGUUUUUUGACGGUAGUGGGGGAAGAAGCUCCGGCUAACUACGUGCCAGCAGCCGCGGUGAUACGUAGGGUGCGAGCGUUGUCCGGAAUUAUUGGGCGUAAAGAGCUUGUAGGCGGUUUGUCGCGUCGAUAGUGCAAACUCAGUGCUUAACGCUGAGCCUGCUGUUGAUACGGGCAGACUAGAGGAAGGUAGGGGAGAAUGGAAUUCCCGGUGGAGCGGUGGAAUGCGCAGAUUUCGGGAGGAACACCGGUGGCGAAGGCGGUUCUCUGGGCCUUUCCUGACGCUGAGAAGCGAAAGCGUGGGGAGCGAACAGG
rnacentral:rRNA from 1 species